AUUGAACGCUGGCGGCAUGCCUUACACAUGCAAGUCGAACGGCAGCACGGGGGCAACCCUGGUGGCGAGUGGCGAACGGGUGAGUAAUACAUCGGAACGUGCCCAGUAGUGGGGGAUAGCUCGGCGAAAGCCGGAUUAAUACCGCAUACGACCUACGGGUGAAAGCGGGGGAUCGCAAGACCUCGCGCUAUCGGAGCGGCCGAUGUCAGAUUAGGUUGUUGGUGGGGUAAAGGCCACCAAGCCUGCGAUCUGUAGCUGGUCUGAGAGGACGACCAGCCACACUGGGACUGAGACACGGCCCAGACUCCUACGGGAGGCAGCAGUGGGGAAUUUUGGACAAUGGGCGAAAGCCUGAUCCAGCCAUGCCGCGUGCGGGAAGAAGGCC
rnacentral:rRNA from 1 species